UACGGAGGGGGCUAGCGUUGUUCGGAAUUACUGGGCGUAAAGCGCACGUAGGCGGCUUUGUAAGUUAGGGGUGAAAGCCCGGGGCUCAACUCCGGAAUUGCCUUUAAGACUGCAUCGCUAGAAUUGUGGAGAGGUAAGUGGAAUUCCGAGUGUAGAGGUGAAAUUCGUAGAUAUUCGGAAGAACACCAGUGGCGAAGGCGACUUACUGGACACAUAUUGACGCUGAGGUGCGAAAGCGUGGGGAGCAAACAGGG
rnacentral:rRNA from 1 species